rnacentral:rRNA from 1 species
UGGUGGGGUAACGGCCUACCAAGGCGACGACGGGUAGCUGGUCUGAGAGGACGACCAGCCACACUGGAACUGAGAUACGGUCCAGACUCCUACGGGAGGCAGCAGUGGGGAAUAUUGCACAAUGGGCGAAAGCCUGAUGCAGCGACGCCGCGUGAGGGAUGACGGCCCUCGGGUUGUAAACCUCUUUCGGCAGGGACGAAGCGAAAGUGACGGUACCUGCAGAAGAAGUCCCGGCUAACUACGUGCCAGCAGCCGCGGUAAGACGUAGGGGACGAGCGUUGUCCGGAUUUAUUGGGCGUAAAGCGCGCGUAGGCGGCUAUGCAAGUCGGUUGUGAAAUCCCGGGGCUCAACCCCGGGACUGCGUCCGAUACUGUGUGGCUAGAGGUAGGUAGGGGAGAUCGGAAUUCCUGGUGUAGCGGUGAAAUGCGCAGAUAUCAGGAGGAACACCGGUGGCGAAGGCGGAUCUCUGGGCCUUACCUGACGCUCAGGCGCGAAAGCUAGGGGAGCGAACAGGAUUAGAUACCCUGGUAGUCCUAGCCGUAAACGUUGGGUGCUAGGUGUGGGCGGAUAU